rnacentral:rRNA from 1 species
GAAUAGGGGAGCCGAAGGGAAACCGAGUCUUAACUGGGCGUUAAGUUGCAGGGUAUAGACCCGAAACCCGGUGAUCUAGCCAUGGGCAGGUUGAAGGUUGGGUAACACUAACUGGAGGACCGAACCGACUAAUGUUGAAAAAUUAGCGGAUGACUUGUGGCUGGGGGUGAAAGGCCAAUCAAACCGGGAGAUAGCUGGUUCUCCCCGAAAGCUAUUUAGGUAGCGCCUCGUGAAUUCAUCUCCGGGGGUAGAGCACUGUUUCGGCAAGGGGGUCAUCCCGACUUACCAACCCGAUGCAAACUGCGAAUACCGGAGAAUGUUAUCACGGGAGACACACGGCGGGUGCUAACGUCCGUCGUGAAGAGGGAAACAACCCAGACCGCCAGCUAAGGUCCCAAAGUCAUGGUUAAGUGGGAAACGAUGUGGGAAGGCCCAGACAGCCAGGAUGUUGGCUUAGAAGCAGCCAUCAUUUAAAGAAAGCGUAAUAGCUCACUGGUCGAGUCGGCCUGCGCGGAAGAUGUAACGGGGCUAAACCAUGCACCGAAGCUGCGGCAGCGACGCUUAUGCGUUGUUGGGUAGGGGAGCGUUCUGUAAGCCUGUGAAGGUGUGCUGUGAGGCAUGCUGGAGGUAUCAGAAGUGCGAAUGCUGACAUAAGUAACGAUAAAGCGGGUGAAAAGCCCGCUCGCCGGAAGACCAAGGGUUCCUGUCCAACGUUAAUCGGGGCAGGGUGAGUCGACCCCUAAGGCGAGGCCGAAAGGCGUAGUCGAUGGGAAACAGGUUAAUAUUCCUGUACUUGGUGUUACUGCGAAGGGGGGACGGAGAAGGCUAUGUUGGCCGGGCGACGGUUGUCCCGGUUUAAGCGUGUAGGCUGGUUUUCCAGGCAAAUCCGGAAAAUCAAGGCUGAGGCGUGAUGACGAGGCACUACGGUGCUGAAGCAACAAAUGCCCUGCUUCCAGGAAAAGCCUCUAAGCAUCAGGUAACAUCAAAUCGUACCCCAAACCGACACAGGUGGUCAGGUAGAGAAUACCAAGGCGCUUGAGAGAACUCGGGUGAAGGAACUAGGCAAAAUGGUGCCGUAACUUCGGGAGAAGG